GUGGUUUUGCUGGUGAUUGACUCAAUUCAUGCUUACUCUUGCAAUUUUUGUUAUGGGGGAUGGAGGGUUGUGGCUAUGUCAUGAUCUUAAACUAGUGUUCACUCCUGUUUUCUUGAUUCUUACACACUGUACACGCAUGUUAUGUGAAUUUGUAUGGUUCUAUUCACGUACCUAUUUUGUGUUUCUGAUUUUAAGUGAUUGCUGGUUUCUAUCUGUUUGGACAUAUUAGUGUGAUUAUAGAAGCUUGGGUUAAUAUCUACAUAUGGCUUCGCUUAAAAGUUUUUACUUAUGGUUGAAGUUAAAUAUGCGUGUUUGCUUCAUGUAUUCAUCUCACUUUCAGAAGGGGAAGUAAACUCUUUAACUGAUUUAUUUUUCUAAUUUCAUGACUUUGCUUUUGCCAAAUAAAUUUUAACAAUUACUUGAAAAAGUAGUGCUCAAUAGUUGUGAUUUGGCACACAAAUGUGAUCUUGGAAAAAGCGAAAAGGGGAUAAAAGUAUGUUAAUUAUUUUGUAUAUAUGUGUGGUUAUUUGGGUGACAAAGUGGAUAUUGUAGUGAAUUAAUUUUGGAAAUGACUGGUCGAGACUUGAGCAUAUGUAAGUUUGAGUUUGUUAUAUGAACAAAUUUGUGGUUUUGCUGGUUAUUGACUCAAUUCAGGCUUACUCUUGCAGUUCUGUUUUGGGGGGUGGCUGGCGGGUUGUGGCUAUAUCAUGAUCUUAAUCUAGUGUUCACUCCUGUUUUCUUGAUUAUUACACACGUCAUGUGGAUUUGUAUGGUUCUAUUUAUGUACCUAUUUUGUGUUUCUGAUUUUAAGUGAUUGCUAGUUUCUAUCUGUCUGGACAUAUUAGUGUGAUUAUAGGAGCUUGUGUUAAUACAUAUGGCUCUGCUUAAAAGUUUUUACUUAUGGUUAAGUUAAAUAUGCUUGUUUACUUCAUGUAAUCAUCACGCUUGGAGAAGGGGAAGUAAACUCUCAACUGAUUUAUCUUUCUAAUUUCACGAUUUUGCUUUUGGCGAAUAAAUUUUAACAAUUACUUGAAAAAGUAGUGCUCAAUAGUUGUGAUUUGGCGCACAAAUGUGAU
rnacentral:lncRNA from 1 species